AGAUGAUUAGGUCCAUCCAAAAGGAUAUGUAGCAAUGUGAUGAACCAUUAUAAGUCAGGCUCCAACCAAAUCUUACCGCAACCCUUUUGAGCCAUUUACAGUGUCUAAUAAUCUCUCAACAGACGAUGGGUGCGGGGCGUGAAAUGUUAAUCUCCUUGGACAAUGUAAGGGACAAGAACAUGAUGCAACUGAAGAAGAUUAACACUGCACUAUUCCCAAUUCGUUACAAUGAUAAAUACUACUCUGAUGCGCUCGCCUCUGCUGAUUUCACCAAGCUAGCAUAUUAUAGUGACAUUUGUGUCGGUUCAAUUGCGUGUCGACUUGAGAAGAAGGAAGAUGGAGCUGUUUGUGUUUAUAUAAUGACUUUGGGUGUUUUAGCUCCAUAUCGUGGUCUAGGUAUUGGUACAAAGCUGUUAAAUCAUGUUCUUGAUCUUAGUACAAAGCAGAAUAGCAGAGAGAUUUACUUGCAUGUGCAGACAAGUAAUGAAGAUGCCAUCAACUUCUAUAAGAAAUUUGGCUUUGAGGUCACUGAUACCAUCAAAAACUAUUACAUAAACAUUACCCCACCAGACUGUUAUGUCCUAACCAAGUUUAUCUCUCAAACAAAGAAAUGAGCCUUGACAUAGUUUUGAGGUUCUGAAACUUCUGGUUCUAGUUUUUGUUAUUUAUGGGGUAGUAUUCCACAAUUUUUGAACUGAUUUUGGCUUGAUCUUAAUGUUCAGCAAGUGGUUUUUAACGGUUAAAGAUGUAGGAGAGUUCAUGGUAUUGUAGAUUAGUUGUAUCGAAAGCUGAUCUGGGAUGGAAAUGUCAUCAUGGUGAGAAGGAAGAAAUGAAUGCUGAUAUGUGAUACGUCUA